rnacentral:rRNA from 1 species
CCCCUAGACGUUCUGGGCUGCACGCGCGCUACAAUAAUACGUACAACAAGUACUCCAAGCUCGAAAGGGCGAGGUAAUCACUAAAAGGUACUGUAAUGGUUAUAGACCCUUGUAAUUAUUGGUCUUCAACGAGGAAUUCCUAGUAAGUAUGUGUCAUCAUCACGCACUGAUUACGUCCCUGCCCUUUGUACACACCGCCCGUCGCUCCUACCGAUUGGGUGUUCCGAUGAAACUCUCGGACGCAAUGUAGUUUCUAUAUUGAAAAAGAGAUUUGAAUCGUAUCACUUAGAGGAAGGAGAANUCGUAACA